CCCCUUUUUUUCUUCUUCCAAUUCUUGACAAAAAUAGUUGAGAUGAUGAUGCCACCUAUGAGGACUCGUGAAGAGGAUGGGCAGCAACAGCAAAGGAGAGAAUCAAAGUCUGGCCACAAACUCUGAUCUCUGCCACAGAGGGUAAAGAAAGAACAAAAAGCCUCCUCCAGUGGUAAUGAUAUCCACAUGCACUCACUUCUAUGUGCUACAGAGGCCCUCCUUUGGCCUCAGGCUUUAUGAUCCCUGCCCUGCUUGCUUCCUCUCUGCUCAGAUUCCCACCACCACCGCCAGCACAGCAGCUCGACACUGAGCUGCAGUGUAGUGUUCCUUCAGACUCCAUGUUGUUUUUCUCUAUUGAAGAGACUAGGAUGGUUCAUGAAUUUGGAUAAGGUGGUCAGUGCUGUCAUCAACCGUGUCGUGUUGUUUAUAAUACUAUGCAAUCAUGGAGGGAGGAUCAAGUUUUGCAAUCUAAUCUUUAGGCAAAAUGAUUCUUGUUUUUCCUCUUAAAGAAAAAAAGAGGAGACUCUGCAGCAACUCUCCAUGGUUUCUUUCAACAACCAGCAUUGUCAAUAGAGGAAGGGCAAAUUGGAUCGUCUCGAAAGGCUUCGGUGAACGAAGAUGAGGAACUAGCUAGAAUGUGGAGCAGCAGAAUGGGUCCAAUGGGAGCCCACAGGAUGGUGGAUUGGCUCAGAGGGGCAGUGCUGAUGUUGCUGUCACCCAAAAGGACAUGAUUGCCGGGGACCAUGUCGGCAGGCUCGUAGACGGCAACUUGUUGGCCAAGCCAUCACCUUUUGAUCCACACUGGAUGUGUGUGUGCAGAUGGCAAACAGGUUCGGAGGCUGUGAAAUAAAAAGCUGCAGCUUUGCCGGUGUCCACGCACUAGAGAGAGGAAAUCAGGAACUUUGAGCAUGUCCAUCUCUUACAUGCAUGCUCUAUCUUCUUUGAGAGAGAGAGAGAGAGAGAGAGAGAGAGAGAGAGUGCCAAGGAGAAGAAAAAAGAGGGGGGGGGGGGGGAGGGAGGAGAUCAAGUUGCUUGAUGUGGUCCUCACCCGCACAAAUCAAGUAGCAUUCCAGAAUUGGGUGGUUUGAGGUUUGGAUUUGCCUCGAGAAUUGCGAGAACAUUGCCCUGUAAAGGGUGUCCACUCCAUCUUUCUCUCUUCCGAGGGUGGAUGGAUCCACUGUUCUUUGUUGUUCCUUGUCCAUGGAGACCGCAGCCAUCCAUCCAUCUGGUUUGGUAUUAGCCGCUUCUCGUCUGCCUCAUGAACUAAUCCAGCAUCUUCUUGUCCACGCUGCAUUCAAUCCAAACGAUGCAGCAACCUUCUUCAUCAGACUCCAUGAACAAUGAACGAUGAACAGUAGUACAUGGAGAAUCAUUCGAGGAUGAGCUCUCCUGUUCACCUACUUGUUUUGGUACGCAAACACCAUAUGCUUCCUAUCCAUCGUGUCUUCUCGCAAGUGUCCAGUGAAGUCCCUAUAAGGAACAUUGCCUCUAGGGAGGGGCAUCACCAGCUUCUUCUUCCGGCCGGUAAGGAGAGACCAAAGAAGAGGUGGAGGAGGGUUUGGUUGCUGUAGCAAUAGCUAUCAAGAUUGAUGACCGCGUCAAGAAAGAAAAGGCUGCAAGUGACAUGAACAAAAACCAAAUCUCGAUUGCUACUCCCUUUCUCCUUUCCUUGGAUUUGAACUUUGCAUCGUAGACAUGCACAGAAAAGUAGAUGUCGACAUGGAUGAGUCCCUCCAUCAUCCAUCCAUCCAUGUGCUGCAGUGGAAAAGGGUGUUCCUCUCUUGUACCGGGAUGAGGUAGAAAACACAUAAGAUAUGCUAUCUUCUCGAUGACAGCAGCUCCGUGAGUUGCUUGUGAAGAAGAUGAGGUAAAACACGCAUAACUCCAAUCACACGAGAAUCCACGAGAGAUAUGGGUGACUCGUUGAUGACAGCAGCUUCAUGCGUUCCUGUGAAGAUCUGGCGCAGAGUAGUUCUGACACAGAUCAGGAAAUCCUUGUUCUAUCUGUUGACAUAUUGCUAUUCCUCUUCCUUGUUUCUUUUUGCCUUGUUGGAAGUAACGUAAUUUGUGAGCUCGUUAGAUCUCUCCAGACUUGCGCCUCGCCAUGGGCUUCUGCAAUUCUCUAUUUACGAUUCACAGGUGGAUCUGCCGCCUUCCGUCGAAAGAAGAAAAAGAUCAGAAUUUGUUUUACCUGCCGCUCUUGGCAAUGGCCAUUGAUGAUGCCCAAGGGUUGCAAUGAGAAGCGCAGUGAGCUCAGCCACCACCUUUUCAUAUCAUUUUGCAGUCUGGAUUUACCACCACCAUUGACGCUGAACAGCCCUGCUUGCACUACUGCUGUCUCCUCUCUUCUUAUCGUUCUGUUCUUGUGAUUCAUAUGAUGUGAGACUUGAUUCCUGUGCAGGAAUGUUAGAUCUCCUCCUGGUUUGGUGGAUUUAGUAACAGUGAUCCAAUGAGCUUAGUGAUGGUAAUCUAGUACAUGAGAUUUGCUCCUCGCUGUCCUUUUAAGCUUAAUCUUGUUAAGCUGGAUAAACUGUGGUACAUUUUGUGUGGAUGCAUGCACCCAUAAUUACUAUAACACACACACACACAGAGAGAGAGAGAGAGAGAGAGCUUAUCCUCCAUUCCAUUUCAUUUCAAACUGCAGCAGCAUCUUUGGGUAUUUAAAUCCUCAAAAUGUCUUGAUGCUUCUCUAUAUAAGAACCUGAAAGCUUUCUGCAACCUCCAAGCCUCUCUGUCUCCCUCCCUAUAGUGCAUGGAUUUCCAUGGCCAUGUUCAGUCCUGCCUCUCGACAUCUCUGCCGGAGCUCUGACGAGCGGUGAUAGGUCUUGCAGAGACGAUCCAUCCAGGUUUCAGCAUUGCUCUUCUCAUCCGUGGCUUAGCAUCAGCCUCAGAAAGUGAGGUGCAGCCAAGGAUGACUUGCCGGCCUUCUCAUUUGGAUUUGCUCUCCCUCGAAGGGAGUUUAGAGAGAGAAGCUGGCAAGUUGUCUUUGGCUACAUGUUGCUUCCUGAGCCCUCAUGUUAGGCCUGAGAUGAUUGUUCCUCCUGUGGUCAGUAUUCGAAUGCAUGCAAAUAUGGAUUCACCAAAGCAGAUGUACUCCUUGUGGAGGUGAUGCCAAAGUAUUUUGACUCAGGAACUUCAUGUGUCGAAAUUUAGAUAUCAAAUCGAAGAGGUGAUUGAUUCUUCUUUCUUCGACUUCCAGGUUGUACAGUCUCUUGUCUACUUGCCAAUAAUCAAGUCAAUUAUUGGCUUGAUUUAUGUGUGUUAUUGUCAGACAUGACUGCAUGGGUUGUGUUUAUGAACUGUUUGAGAUGAUGCAAUGGGUAGGAGGAACCUUGAAUCCUUCAUUUAGAUGUCUUUUUAGGGCAAAGAAGAUGAGAUGGUGGAGUCCUGACAGAGUAGCUUAGGGAGCAUAUCUGCAAAUGGUUGUGAUAAGAACAAGGACAGUGGCCACAAUGUAGGUGGUGUGCCAUGGAACAUCACAGCUGAUGAACUCACAGUAAGCUGACAGCAACUUGAUGAAUCUUUGCGGCUGGUGGAGUCAUGGAUGAGGAUGAACAAGUAUUUGCCAUCAGCUUUGAAACUUGGAAGGUUUCUUUGCACGAGAUCAACGAUGAUCUACAUGAAGCAUGGAACUGUUCACUUGUAUGAGAUGAUGACAUGAACUGAUGCUUAGUUGAUAGCAGAUGGGAUGAUCCAAUGAAGCUCUCCAUCUUCUUCAAACUUGGGACUCCAAACUGUGUCACUGAACAUGCAGCAAAUGGAGAAGAAAUCCAAGGGAGAGAUAUCACAUCAUGUGUAUUCCAACACAGUAGUAUGAGAAGAUUACAACUCCAUUGUUGACCCCCAACAACUCAUGAGGAAGCACAGAAAGGCAUACUGAGGACACAUAGAUUUGAGGCCUUUGAUAAUAUGUUUUCUAAGGGGGCAAAAAAACAGUGAUCAUUUUACAAUGAGAGCAUAAUGUUUAAAUUCUAAUCAAUAUUAAUAUUUUUUUUUAUUUAAGAAUAUUUUAUAUGGUCCCCA